UUCUUUUGGGCGUUUGGUUUCUU
rnacentral:snRNA from 1 species